rnacentral:rRNA from 1 species
AAUAAUAAGUUAGAAAAAUAUUUAUUUUAAAUAAAAUUAUAAUAAAAAUAUUAAAGUUGAUUAAUAGAUUAAAUUAAUUAGUAAUAAUUAUAAAGGAUAAGUAUUGUAAAAGAAUAUAAUUAAAAUAAAGUAAAGUAAAUUUAAAUUAUUGUACCUUUUGUAUCAGGGGUUAUUAAAAUAAAAUUUUUAAAUUUAAAAUUUCUCGAAGUUAGAAGAGCGAAUAGAGUAUGAUAGUUAAUGUGAAAUAAUUAUUAUGAAUAUUUUAUUAGUGAAUAUAUUUUAGUCAAUUUUAAGGAUAUCUAGUUUUUUUUUUUUAAAUUGAAUUUAACUUUAAUUUUUAAUAUUAUUUAAAUGAGUAUAUAAAUUUUUAUAUAUUAUUAAAUUAAGGAUAUAAGUUAUGGGAUAAACUAUAAUUUUUUUUAUAAUUGUUUAUUGAAAAAUUGAUAGAAAUAUUCAUAAUAUUUGAAUUUUUUAAUAAAAAUUUAAUAAUUUAUAAAAUAAUAAAUUAAUUGAUAUAGAUUUGGCAUAUAAAAAUUUAAUAUUUAAAAAAAAUUUAUAUUUAAAUAAUAAAAAUAGAUUAAUAAUGAUAAUAUUAGUAUAAUAAAAAAAUUUUAAAAUUUAAUUAUAGUAGUAAAUUAAUUUUAGUAAUUAGGCAAAAAUAUAAGUUUACCUGUUUAAUAAAAACAUGGUCUUUUGAAUAUAAUUUAAGAUUAUUUCUGCUCACUGAAAGAAUAUUUAAAGAGCUGCAGUAUAUUAACUGUACAAAGGUAGCAUAAUAAAUAGUUUUUUAAUUGGAAACUGGGAUGAACGAAGCGAUAAAAUUUAUACUGUCUUAGAUUAAAUUUAUUGAAUUUAUUAAUUAAGUAAAAAUACUUAAAUAAAAAUAUGGGACGAGAAGACCCUAUAGAAUUUUAUAUAAAUUUAUUAUAAUUGAUUGAUUAAAGAAUAAAAUAAUAUAUUUAUAUUUGAUUGGGAGGAUUAUUAAAUUAAUAAAACUUUAAUAUUAUAUAGAUCAUUAAUUUAUGAGUAUAAGAAGAGUGAUUUAUAAAUUUUAAUAGAAUUAAUUACCUUAGGGAUAACAGCAUAAUAUCUUUAGAAAGAUCUUAUUAAUAAAGAUGAUUGUGACCUCGAUGUUGAAUUAAGAUAAAAAUUAAAUGAAGAAGUUUAAUAUUUAAGUCUGUUCGACUUUUAAAAUCUUACAUGAUUUGAGUUUAGAUCGGCGUGAGCCAGAUCGGUUUCUAUCUAUAUUAAUAUUAAAAUUAUUUGUACGAAAGGACUUUAAUUUUUAAUUACAUUAAAUUUAUAUAUAGUGAAUAUUACUUUGGCAGAUUAGUGCAUUAAAUUUAGAAUUUAAUAUAAAAUAU